rnacentral:rRNA from 1 species
CACGCCGUAAACUAUGGAAGCUAGCCGUCAGUCAGCUUGCUGAGUGGUGGCGCAGCUAACGCAUUAAGCUUCCCGCCUGGGGAGUACGGUCGCAAGAUUAAAACUCAAAGGAAUUGACGG